AUUGAACGCUGGCGGCAUGCUUUACACAUGCAAGUCGAACGGCAGCGGGGUAGUGCUUGCACUACUGCCGGCGAGUGGCGAACGGGUGAGUAAUAUAUCGGAACGUACCGAGUAAUGGGGGAUAACCAAUCGAAAGAUUGGCUAAUACCGCAUACGUCCUGAGGGAGAAAGCGGGGGAUCGCAAGACCUCGCGUUAUUCGAGCGGCCGAUAACUGAUUAGCUAGUUGGUGGGGUAAAGGCCUACCAAGGCGACGAUCAGUAGCGGGUCUGAGAGGACGAUCCGCCACACUGGGACUGAGACACGGCCCAGACUCCUACGGGAGGCAGCAGUGGGGAAUUUUGGACAAUGGGGGCAACCCUGAUCCAGCCAUGCCGCGUGUAUGAAGAAGGCCUUCGGGUUGUAAAGUACUUUUGUUAGGGAAGAAAAGGGAAGUGCUAAUACCACUUUUUGCUGACGGUACCUAAAGAACAAGCACCGGCUAACUACGUG
rnacentral:rRNA from 1 species